AGUGAACGCUGGCGGUAGGCCUAACACAUGCAAGUCGAACGGCAGCACAGUAAGAGCUUGCUCUUACGGGUGGCGAGUGGCGGACGGGUGAGGAAUUCAUCGGAAUCUACUUUUUCGUGGGGGAUAACGUAGGGAAACUUACGCUAAUACCGCAUACGACCUACGGGUGAAAGCAGGGGAUCUUCGGACCUUGCGCGAUUGAAUGAGCCGAUGUCGGAUUAGCUAGUUGGCGGGGUAAAGGCCCACCAAGGCGACGAUCCGUAGCUGGUCUGAGAGGAUGAUCAGCCACACUGGAACUGAGACACGGUCCAGACUCCGACGGGAGGCAGCAGUGGGGAAUAUUGGACAAUGGGCGCAAGCCUGAUCCAGCCAUACCGCGUGGGUGAAGAAGGCCUUCGGGUUGUAAAGCCCUUUUGUUGGGAAAGAAAAGCAGCAGGUUAAUACCCCGCUGUUCUGACGGUACCCAAAGAAUAAGCACCGGCUAACUUCGU
rnacentral:rRNA from 1 species